rnacentral:rRNA from 1 species
CCUACGGGAGGCUGCAGUGAGGAAUAUUGGUCAAUGGACGAGAGUCUGAACCAGCCAAGUAGCGUGAAGGAUGACUGCCCUAUGGGUUUUAAACUUCUUUUAUAAAGGAAUAAAACGAGCCAUGUGUGCCGUUUUGCAUGUACUUUAUUAAUAAGGAUCGGCUAACUCCGUGCCAGCAGCCGCGGUAAUACGGAGGAUCCGAGCGUUAUCCGGAUUUACUGGGUUUAAAGGGAGCGUAGAUGGGUUGUUAAGUCAGUUGUGAAAGUUUGCGGCUCAACCGUAAAAUUGCAAUUGAUACUGGCAGUCUUGAGUACAGUUGAGGUCGGCGGAAUUCGUGGUGUAGCGGUGAAAUGCUUAGAUAUCACGAAGAACCCCGAUUGCGAAGGCAGCUGACUAAACUGUGACUGACAUUGAUGCUCGAAAGUGUGGGUAUCAAACAGGAUUAGAUACCCCAGUAGUC